rnacentral:rRNA from 1 species
CCUACGGGAGGCAGCAGUAGGGAAUCUUCCACAAUGGGCGAAAGCCUGAUGGAGCAACGCCGCGUGGGUGAAGAAGGUCUUCGGAUCGUAAAACCCUGUUGUUAGAGAAGAAAGUGCGUGAGAGUAACUGUUCACGUUUCGACGGUAUCUAACCAGACAGCCACGGCUAACUACGUGCCAGCAGCCGCGGUAAUACGUAGGUGGCAAGCGUUAUCCGGAUUUAUUGGGCGUAAAGGGAACGCAGGCGGUCUUUUAAGUCUGAUGUGAAAGCCUUCGGCUUAACCGGCGUAGUGCAUUGGAAACUGGGAGGCUUGAGUGCAGAAGAGGAGAGUGGAACUCCAUGUGUAGCGGUGAAAUGCGUAGAUAUAAGGAAGAACACCAGUGGCGAAGGCGGCUCUCUGGUCUGUAACUGACGCUGAGGUUCGAAAGCGUGGGUAGCAAACAGGAUUAGAUACCCGAGUAGUC